rnacentral:rRNA from 1 species
AGGCCUAACACAUGCAAGGUCGAGGGGCAGCACAAGGAGCAAUCUGAGGUGGCGACCGGCGCACGGGUGAGUAACACGUAUGCAACCUGCCUGUAAGCGGGGAAUAACCCGUUGAAAGACGGACUAAUACCGCAUAAUACUAAAUUACUGCAUGGUAAUUUAUUUAAACAUUUAUGGCUUACAGAUGGGCAUGCGCAUGAUUAGCUAGUUGGAGAGGUAACGGCUCCCAAGGCAACGAUCAUUAGGGGUUCUGAGAGGAAGGUCCCCCACACUGGUACUGAGACACGGACCAGACUCCUACGGGAGGCAGCAGUGAGGAAUAUUGGUCAAUGGACGAGAGUCUGAACCAGCCAAGUCGCGUGCAGGAAGAAUGUCCUAUGGAUUGUAAACUGCUUUUGCAGGGGAAUAAAGUGCAUCACGUGUGAUGUUUUGUAUGUACUCUGCGAAUAAGGAUCGGCUAACUCCGUGCCAGCAGCAGC